rnacentral:rRNA from 1 species
GACGGAGGAUGCAAGUGUUAUCCGGAAUCACUGGGCGUAAAGGGCUCGUAGGUGGCCAACUAAGUCGGACGUGAAAUCCCUCGGCUUAACCGGGGAACUGCGUCUGAUACUGGAUGGCUUGAGUUCGGGAGAGGAGCGUGGAAUUCCCAGUGUAGAGGUGAAAUUCGUAGAUAGUUGGGAAGAACACCGGUGGCGAAGGCGGCGCUCUGGACCGAGACUGACGCUGAGGCGCGAAAGCGUGGGGAGCAAACAGG